rnacentral:rRNA from 1 species
GUGGGGAAUAUUGGGCAAUGGGGGAAACCCUGACCCAGCAACGCCGCGUGAAGGAAGAAGGUUUUCGGAUCGUAAACUUCUAUCCUUGGUGAAGAUAAUGACGGUAGCCGAGAAGGAAGCCCCGGCUAACUACGUGCCAGCAGCCGCGGUAAUACGUAGGGGGCAAGCGUUGUCCGGAAUGAUUGGGCGUAAAGGGCGCGUAGGCGGCCUGGUAAGUCUGGAGUGAAAGUCCUGCUUUUAAGGUGGGAAUUGCUUUGGAUACUGUCGGGCUUGAGUGCAGGAGAGGUAAGUGGAAUUCCCGGUGUAGCGGUGAAAUGCGUAGAGAUCGGGAGGAACACCAGUGGCGAAGGCGACUUACUGGACUGUAACUGACGCUGAGGCGCGAAAGUGUGGGGAGCAAACAGGAUUAGAAACCCCAGUAGUCC